UGGGGAAUAUUGCACAAUGGGGGAAACCCGUGAUGCAGCGACGCCGCGUGAACGAAGAAGUAUUUCGGUAUGUAAAGUUCUAUCAGCAGGGAAGAUAAUGACGGUACCUGACUAAGAAGCACCGGCUAAAUACGUGCCAGCAGCCGCGGUAAUACGUAGGUGGCGAGCGUUGUCCGGAUUUACUGGGCGUAAAGGGAGCGUAGGCGGAUUUUUAAGUGAGAUGUGAAAUACUCGGGCUUAACCUGAGUGCUGCAUUUCAAACUGGAAGUCUAGAGUGCAGGAGAGGAGAAGGGAAUUCCUAGUGUAGCGGUGAAAUGCGUAGAGAUUAGGAAGAACACCAGUGGCGAAGGCGCUUCUCUGGACUGUAACUGACGCUGAGGCUCGAAAGCGUGGGGAGCAAACAGGAUUAGAUACCCUGGUAGU
rnacentral:rRNA from 1 species